ensembl:lncRNA
AUGAUUCCAAAUAUAUUUUGCCAAAAUAUUUGCAGGAGAAAAAAGCUGGAUGGGUUUCUUGCCAAUCUCUUGCUCUACUUUUCUUGCUACUUUAAAAAAAAAAAAAAAAAAAAAACUCUGGAGGAAAGACCGAAGUCUCUCAUGGGAGAGGACACUGAGAGGCAGAUGCAUGGAGAAACGUGUGCUAAGGUGGAGCUGGCACAAAAGCAGCUUGCCCUCUGUCAUGUCAGGCUGCUGCUGGGAUAGAUCUGGCUCAACAGCACCAUAUGACUUUUGACAGGAUCAAGGUGUCAUCCACUCACUGUAACAUACAACUAUACGAGGUAUGUGCAGGUCAUUUGACCAUUGUGAUUCAUGAAGAAUGUACAAUUUUUAGAGGUCUUUGAAUAUUAUAUAAGCCACCACCUGCAGUUCCAAGAGUUUCAUAUAUGGUUCCCAUGAUGACAUUAGUGUGUUUUCUCUACCUCAGUUUCUCUAUAUACGUGUCUAACAUAUAGAAAUGAUUUGAGACACAUUUAUACUAAAUUUGCCUGAAAAAAGCCGUUAUUUAUGCAUGUAUUAAUGUAGAGGUUUUAGAAGGUCUGUCUUAACUCUUUGUGAUAUGUUGCUAGUAACGUGAUAAACUUCUGUGUGCAAGCAACUUCAAGUGAAGAUUUAUGCUUUUACUGGCCCGUCUUCUCUUUCAUACUCUUGCUCAGUGUCUGCUGACCUUUAACCCAGGAAGUCAAACCGGCGCCCAGCCCUGAACAUAAUCAUAACCCAGCAUUCCCUUCUGAUGGCCUCUCUGCUGCUUACUCCACAAGAAAAGGCCUCUCACCUGUUUGGGGGCUUCAGGCAUCUUAAAGUGUCCUCAACUUAAUGCAUUGAUUUAGAAGCUGUGAUGGAGGGUCUUAUAGAGCAGCUAAAAUCACUUAGGUAAUAUUUAAUUAUGCUAUGGUUAAAUUAUUUAUAAUUAUGAAAAAGCAUGGUAUGCUUCUAUUUUGCAAGUGUUUCUAAUAGUCUGAUUGUACUUUCUUUUGCAUUUAGCUUUGGAAUUCUCGGAAAGCCUUUGAUCUAAUUCAGCUCAAUGACCCUGAAGCCUCAGGGAGGCCAGAGUUAAAAGGAGAUUGGGGAUAACAAAACUACCUUUUGUUGUUUGUGGGUUUUACAACAUGCAAAUUUCUUUCAGCUAUUAUUUAUUGUCCACUGUGCUUUGCAUGAGGGUUGUUGACUAAAAUCAUGUUCAAUAAGAAGAAAUAACAAUACAUGCCACUAGGUGGCACUCAAUAUUGUUAUUCAGUUCAGUCCUCUUAGGAGUGAACACAUCCUUAUGUUAGGGAUGGAAUGGAAAUGAUUAAUGGAAAAAUAUAUUAAACUAAGAAAGCUAAGUAUGCAAAGUUGGCUAAAUAAAAUGCAUCACAUUACCUUUGUAUCA